ACGGGGGAACCCACUCAGCAUAAGCUGAGUAUCAUGCACUGAAUACAGUAGGUGUAUGAGGCGAACCAGGGGAACUGAACAUCUAAGUACCCUGAGGAAAAGAAAUCAACCGAGAUUCCCUUAGUAGUGGCGAGCGAACGGGGAUUAGCCCUUAAGCUUCUUUGAUUUUAGCGGAACGCUCUGGAAAGUGCGGCCAUAGUGGGUGAUAGCCCUGUACGCGAAAAGGUCUUAGAAGUGAAAUCGAGUAGGACGGAGCACGAGAAACUUUGUCUGAAUAUGGGGGGACCAUCCUCCAAGGCUAAAUACUACUGACUGACCGAUAGUGAACCAGUACCGUGAGGGAAAGGCGAAAAGAACCCCGGAGAGGGGAGUGAAAUAGAACCUGAAACCGUAUGCGUACAAGCAGUGGGAGCCUACUUUGUUGGGUGACUGCGUACCUUUUGUAUAAUGGGUCAGCGACUUAUAUUCAGUGGCGAGCUUAACCGAAUAGGGGGAGGCGUAGCGAAAGCGAGUCUUAAUAGGGCGUUUAGUCGCUGGGUAUAGACCCGAAACCGGGCG
rnacentral:rRNA from 1 species